GUCUAUGGCCAUACCAGCCUGAACGUGCCUGAUCUCAUCUGAUCUUGGAAGCGAAGUGGGACCAGGCCUGGGUUAGUACUUGGAUGGGAGAAAACAAAUAAUCCAAUAAAAGACAAGCAAAGGACGUAAACA
ensembl:rRNA 5S_rRNA 5S ribosomal RNA